UCUCGUAGCUUGCUAUGAGAACAAUUAGUGGCAGACGGGUGAGUAAUGCAUAGGAAUCUACCUAGUAGUAUAGGAUAGCCACUAGAAAUGGUGGGUAAUACUGUAUAAUCCCUGCGGGGGAAAGAUUUAUCGCUACAUGAUGAGCCUAUGUUAGAUUAGCUAGUUGGUGGGGUAAUGGCCUACCAAGGCAGUGAUCUAUAGCUGGUCUGAGAGGAUGAUCAGCCACACUGGAACUGAGACACGGUCCAGACUCCUACGGGAGGCAGCAGUGGGGAAUAUUGGACAAUGGGCGCAAGCCUGAUCCAGCUAUGCCGCGUGAGUGAGGAAGGCCUUAGGGUUGUAAAACUCUUUCAGUGGGGAAGAUAAUGACGGUACCCACAGAAGAAGUCCCGGCAAACUCCGUGCCAGCAGCCGCGGUAAUACGGAGGGGGCAAGCGUUGUUCGGAAUUAUUGGGCGUAAAGGGCAUGUAGGUGGUUUGGUAAGUUAAAGGUGAAAUGCCAGGGCUUAACCCUGGAGCUGCUUUUAAUACUGCCAGACUGGAGUCCGGGAG
rnacentral:rRNA from 1 species